GUCCACGCCGUAAACGAUGUUCACUAGGUGCUGUGGGUAUUGACCCCCGCGGUGCCGGAGCUAACGCGUUAAGUGAACCGCCUGGGGAGUACGGCCGCAAGGUUAAAACUCAAAGGAAUUGACGGGGGCCCGCACAAGCGGUGGAGUAUGUGGUUUAAUUCGACGCAACGCGAAGAACCUUACCUGGGUUUGACAUCUGGGGAAUCCGCCAGAGACGGUGGAGUGCCCUUCGGGGAGCCCCAAGACAGGUGCUGCAUGGCUGUCGU
rnacentral:rRNA from 1 species